UACGUAGGCAGCAAGCGUUGUUCGGAAUUACUGGGCGUAAAGAGUGUGUAGGCGGUGUUCUAAGUCUGUUGUGAAAUCUCCCGGCUUAACUGGGAGGGUGCGGCGGAAACUGGAAUGCUAGAGGAUGGGAGAGGUAAGCGGAAUUCCUGGUGUAGCGGUGAAAUGCGUAGAUAUCAGGAGGGACACCUGUGGUGUAGACAGCUUACUGGACCAUUUCUGACGCUGAGACACGAAAGCGUGGGUAGCAAACAGG
rnacentral:rRNA from 1 species